rnacentral:rRNA from 1 species
CCUACGGGAGGCAGCAGUGGGGAAUUUUGGACAAUGGGCGCAAGCCUGAUCCAGCCAUGCCGCGUGUCUGAAAAGGCCUUCGGGUUGUAAAGGACUUUUUAGAGAGCGGCGGUACCUGAAGAAUAAGCACCGGCUAACUACGUGCCAGCAGCCGCGGUAAUACGUAGGGUGCGAGCGUUAAUCGGAAUUACUGGGCGUAAAGCGAGCGCAGACGGUUACUUAAGCAGGAUGUGAAAUCCCCGGGCUCAACCUGGGAACUGCGUUCUGAACUGGGUGACUAGAGUGUGUCAGAGGGAGGUAGAAUUCCACGUGUAGCAGUGAAAUGCGUAGAGAUGUGGAGGAAUACCGAUGGCGAAGGCAGCCUCCUGGGAUAAACUGACGUUCAUGCUCGAAAGCGUGGGUAGCAAACAGGAUUAGAUACCCUUGUAGUC